CGGUUUGUUCCAAGAAAAUUUUUGUCGUCCCCUUUUGACUCAAUAAAAAGACUCACUGUCACUUAAAAUAGAACGCAAUGUCAGUAGAAACUUCCCCCAUACUUAAACAACACUGAGUGUUAUACAGUCUGAGAUUGGCGAAAUAAAUAAGUAAAACUUAAAAUAAAAUCUAAAGAAUUCGAGUACGUACAUGAGAACAGAGGGAGUUUUGACCGACGGACUUAAGUGUUGAUCGAUGCCCAUGAAGAAGGGAAGUGUUGACUGACACCUAGUGGGUGUCGACCGAUGCUGGUACUC
rnacentral:lncRNA from 1 species